rnacentral:rRNA from 1 species
CCUACGGGAGGUAGCAGUGGGGGAUAUUGCACAAUGGGGGAAACCCUGAUGCAGCGACGCCGCGUGUGGGAAGACGGUCCUCUGGAUUGUAAACCACUGUCCCCAGGGACGAAAAUGACGGUACCUGGGGAGGAAGCUCCGGCUAACUACGUGCCAGCAGCCGCGGUAAUACGUAGGGAGCGAGCGUUGUCCGGAAUUACUGGGUGUAAAGGGAGCGUAGGCGGGGAUGCAAGUUGGGUGUAAAAACUACCGGCUCAACUGGUAGUAACACUCAAAACUGCAGCUCUUGAGUGAAGUAGAGGCAGGCGGAAUGCCUAGUGUAGCGGUGAAAUGCGUAGAUAUUAGGAGGAACACCAGUGGCGAAGGCGGCCUGCCGGGCUUUUACUGACGCUGAGGCUCGAAAGUGUGGGGAGCAAACAGGAUUAGAUACCCGAGUAGUC